rnacentral:tRNA from 1 species
UACGUCUGUAGCUCAAUUGGAUAGAGCUUUACCUUCCGACGGUAAAGGUUAUGGGUUCAAAUCCCUUCAGACGUAAC